rnacentral:rRNA from 1 species
GACGAACGCUGGCGGCGUGCUUAACACAUGCAAGUCGAACGGUGAAGCGCCUUCCUUUUUGGUGGGUGUGGAUGAGUGGCGAACGGGUGAGUAACACGUGAGUAACCUGCCCCCUUCUUCUGGAUAACCGCAUGAAAGUGUGGCUAAUACGGGAUAUUCUGGGUCUGUCGCAUGAUGGGUCUGGGAAAGAUAUUGUUUCGGUGGGGGAUGGGCUCGCGGCCUAUCAGCUUGUUGGUGGGGUGAUGGCCUACCAAGGCGGUGACGGGUAGCCGGCCUGAGAGGGUGGGCGGUCACACUGGGACUGAGACACCGCCAAGACUCCGAAGGGAGGCAGCAGUGGGGAAUAGUGCACAAUGGGCGCAAGCCUGAUGCAGCGACGCCGCGUGAGGGAUGGAGGCCUUCGGGUUGUGAACCUCUUUCGCCAGUGAAGCAGGCCUGCCUCGUUUGUGGGUGGGUUGACGGUAGCUGGAUAAGAAGCGCCGGCUAACUACGUG